GUCGGAACCGAGACCGUUCGGGUACCGUAGUGGCGCACGGGUGCGUAACACGUGGGAAUUUGCCUCGGGGUAUGGAAUAACUCAGGGAAACUUGAGCUAAUACCAUAUAAUGUCUUCGGACCAAAGAUUUAUCGCCCUGAGAUAAGCCCGCGUAGGAUUAGCUAGUUGGUGAGGUAAAGGCUCACCAAGGCGACGAUCCUUAGCUGGUCUGAGAGGAUGAUCAGCCACACUGGGACUGAGACACGGCCCAGACUCCUACGGGAGGCAGCAGUGGGGGAAUAUUGGACAAUGGGCGAAAGCCUGAUCCAGCAAUGCCGCGUGAGUGAUGAAGGCCUUCGGGUUGUAAAGCUCUUUUACUCGGGACGAUAAUGACGGUACCGAGAGAAUAAGCCCCGGCUAACUCCGUG
rnacentral:rRNA from 1 species